rnacentral:rRNA from 1 species
ACUACGGGAGGCAGCAGUGAGGAAUAUUGGUCAAUGGGCGCGAGCCUGAACCAGCCAAGUAGCGUGAAGGAUGACUGCCCUACGGGUUGUAAACUUCUUUUAUAAAGGAAUAAAGUGAGGCACGUGUGCCUUUUUGUAUGUACUUUAUGAAUAAGGAUCGGCUAACUCCGUGCCAGCAGCCGCGGUAAUACGGAGGAUCCGAGCGUUAUCCGGAUUUAUUGGGGUUAAAGGACGCGUUGAUGGGUUGUUAAGUCAGUUUUGAAAGUUUGCGGCUCAACCGUAAAAUUGCAAUUGAUACUGGCAGUCUUGAGUACAGUUGAGGUAGGCGGAAUUUGUGGUGUAGCGGUGAAAUGCUGAGAUAUCACGAAGAACUCCGAUUGCGAAGGCAGCUUACUAAACUGCCACUGACAUUGAUGCUCGAAAGUGUGGGUAUCAAACAGGAUUAGAGACCCCUGUAGUC